rnacentral:rRNA from 1 species
GGGUCAGUAGGUUGGUCGUGCCACCGGUACGUACUGGUCUCGCUGAUUCCUCCUUCCUGAAGAACCGUAAUGCCAUUAAUUUGGUGUUGCGGGGAAGCAGGACUGUUACUUUGAAAAAAUUAGAGUGUUUAAAGCAAGCUAACGCUUGAAUACAUUAGCAUGGAAUAAUGAAAUAGGACGAUCGAUCCUAUUUUGUUGGUUUCUAGGAUUGACGUA